rnacentral:rRNA from 1 species
UCAGAAUCAACGCUGGCGGCGUGCNUAACACAUGCAAGUCGAACGCGAAAGCGGACUUCGGUCCGCAAGUAGAGUGGCAAACGGGUGAGUAUCACGUGGGUGACCUACCUUCGAGUGGGGGAUAACCUUCCGAAAGGAAGGCUAAUACCGCAUAACAUCCUGCUCUUGGACGAGCAGUGAUCAAAGCCGGGGAUCGCAAGACCUGGUGCUUGUUGAGGGGCCCGCGCCCGAUUAGCUUGUUGGUGAGGUAAUGGCUCACCAAGGCUUCGAUCGGUAGCCGGCCUGAGAGGGCGGACGGCCACACUGGGACUGAGACACGGCCCAGACUCCUACGGGAGGCAGCAGUGGGGAAUUGUUCGCAAUGGGCGAAAGCCUGACGACGCAACGCCGCGUGGAGGACGAAGAUUUUCGGAUCGUAAACUCCUGUCGAGCGGGAAGAACAGCACGCCGGUUAAUACCCGGUAUGCCUGACGGUACCGCUAAAGGAAGCCCCGGCUAACUCCGUGCCAGCAGCCGCGGUAAUACGGGGGGGGCAAGCGUUGUUCGGAUUUACUGGGCGUAAAGGGCUCGUAGGCGGCCACCUAAGUCGGUUGUGAAAUCCCUCGGCUCAACCGGGGAACUGCGACCGAUACUGAGAGGCUUGAAGCCGGGAGAGGGAUGCGGAAUUCCAGGUGUAGCGGUGAAAUGCGUAGAUAUCUGGAGGAACACCCGUGGCGAAGGCGGCAUCCUGGACCGGUCUUGACGCUGAGGAGCGAAAGCUAGGGGAGCAAACGGGAUUAGAUACCCCGGUAGUCCUAGCCCUAAACGAUGAAUGCUUGGUGUGGCGGGUAUCGAUCCCUGCCGUGCCGUAGCUAACGUGUUAAGCAUYCCGCCUGGGGAGUACGGUCGCAAGGCUGAAACUC